GCCGGGCGCGGUGGCGGGCACCUGUAAUCCCAGCUACUCGGGAGGCUGAGGCAGGAUAAUUGCUUGAACCCGGGAGUUGGAGGUUGCAGUGAGCUGAGGUCACACCACUGCACUCUAGCCUGGGUGACAGAGCAAGAUUCUGCGUCCA
rnacentral:SRP_RNA from 2 species